GCCGCUGUGAUGGAAUAGGCAGACGUAGUGGAUUCAAAAUCCACCGGUAGUGAUACCGUGCCGGUUCGAAUCCGGCCAGCGGCACCA
rnacentral:tRNA from 1 species